CAGUCGCCACGGGAAUACGUAGGGUGCAAGCGUUAAUCGGAAUUACUGGGCGUAAAGCGUGCGCAGGCGGUUUGUUAAGACAGAUGUGAAAUCCCCGGGCUCAACCUGGGAACUGCAUUUGUGACUGGCAGGCUAGAGUAUGGCAGAGGGGGGUGGAAUUCCGCGUGUAGCAGUGAAAUGCGUAGAUAUGCGGAGGAACACCGAUGGCGAAGGCAGCCCCCUGGGCCAAUACUGACGCUCAUGCACGAAAGCGUGGGGAGCAAACAGGAUUAGAUACCCCAGUAGUCCCUGUCUCUUAUAC
rnacentral:rRNA from 1 species